CAUUCAAGAGUCCUGUAUCUUCCAGAACGACUACCUCUUCCUGAGGAGGCUGGCUUAUGUAAGAUCUGACAAUGGGUUGAACCCCAACACGUACAGAUCAGGUUACGACGGGGGAAUCUGGCAGAUCUCAAAGGGGGACUAUGACAAAACCUUCCUAUUGCCCAACGUAUUCUACGAUCGAAUCAAGUUAAAUCUGAAUGUUGUCUGGAACCGGACUACGUGGAGCGAUUUGAGAAAGCCUCUCUAUUCCGGAAUCGCUGCAAUGAUUACGUUAGAGAGGUGAGUUUCCCUUUGGGAAAUGAUCUGGAGGCCGCAGCCACUUGUAUCCUAUUACACCACCAGUUGGUUAAUGUCACUGCCUUCUUACGGUU